UCGUACCCGACGUCACAACCGCCGGGAACCGGGAGUCCGCCUCGGGCAGCAGGCCCGGCGCCGCAGGCCGCGGCUCACAGACCUGGGUGUAGACUCGUUUUGGACAGGAAUGGUGC